CCUACGGGAGGCAGCAGUGGGGAAUUUUGGACAAUGGGCGCAAGCCUGAUCCAGCAAUGCCGCGUGAGUGAAGAAGGCCUUCGGGUUGUAAAGCUCUUUUGUCAGGGAAGAAACGGUCUACUCUAAUACAGUGGGCUAAUGACGGUACCUGAAGAAUAAGCACCGGCUAACUACGUGCCAGCAGCCGCGGUAAUACGUAGGGUGCAAGCGUUAAUCGGAAUUACUGGGCGUAAAGCGUGCGCAGGCGGUUAUAUAAGUCAGAUGUGAAAUCCCCGGGCUCAACCUGGGAACUGCAUUUGAGACUGUAUGGCUAGAGUGUGUCAGAGGGGGGUAGAAUUCCACGUGUAGCAGUGAAAUGCGUAGAUAUGUGGAGGAAUACCGAUGGCGAAGGCAGCCCCCUGGGAUAACACUGACGCUCAUGCACGAAAGCGUGGGGAGCAAACAGGAUUAGAUACCCUGGUAGUCCACGCCCUAAACGAUGUCUACUAGUUGUCGGGACUUAAUUGUCUUGGUAACGCAGCUAACGCGUGAAGUAGACCGCCUGGGGGAGGUACGGUCGCGAGAAGUAAACGUAACGAAAGAAAGUAGACGGCGUGAGACGAGACGACGGACGACGACGAGGGAGGAGG
rnacentral:rRNA from 1 species